UUUCAGGGUAAGAAGGGGUAGAGAAAAUGCCUCGAGCCAAUGUCCGAGUACCAAGCGCUACAGCGCUGAAGUAACCCAUGCCAUACUCCCAGGAAAAGCUCGAACGACGUUUAACAAACGGGUACCUGUACCCGAAACCGACACAGGUAGGUAGGUAGAGAAUACCUAGGGGCGCGAGACAACUCUCUCUAAGGAACUCGGAAAAAUAGCCCCAUAACUUCGGGAGAAGGGGUGCCUCCUCAGGAGGUCGCAGUGACCAGGCCCGGGAGACUGUUUACCAAAAACACAGGUCUCCGCAAAGUCGUAAGACCAUGUAUGGGGGCUGACGCCUACCCAGUGCCGGAAGGUUAAGGAAGUUGGUGACCUGAUGACGAGGAAGCCAGCGACCGAAGCCCCGGUGAACGGCGGUCGUAACUAUAACGGUCCUAAGGUAGCGAAAUUCCUUGUCGGGUAAGUUCCGACCCGCACGAAAGGCAUAACGAUCUGGGCACUGUCUCGGAGAGAGACUCGGUGAAAUAGACAUGUCUGUGAAGAUUAGGACUACCUGCACCUAGACAGAAAGACCCUAUGAAGCUUUACUGUUCCCUGGGAUUGUCUUUGGGUUCUUCUUGCGCAGCUUAGGUGG
rnacentral:ncRNA from 1 species